GGAAUCUUCGGCAAUGGACGCAAGUCUGACCGAGCAAUGCCGCGUGAGUGAGGAAGGCCCUCGGGUCGUAAAGCUCUGUUAUCAGGGAAGAACGCUUGGGAGAUUACCUGCUCUCAAGGUGACGGUACCUGAGAAGAAAGCCCCGGCUAACUACGUGCCAGCAGCCGCGGUAAUACGUAGGGGGCAAGCGUUGUCCGGAAUUAUUGGGCGUAAAGCGCGCGCAGGCGGCUAUUUAAGUCUUAUGUAUAAACCCAAGGCUCAACCUUGGAUCGCAUGGGAAACUGGGUGGCUUGAGUGUAGGAGAGGAAAGUGGAAUUCCACGUGUAGCGGUGAAAUGCGUAGAUAUGUGGAGGAACACCAGUGGCGAAGGCGACUUUCUGGCCUAUAACUGACGCUGAGGCGCGAAAGCGUGGGGAGCAAAC
rnacentral:rRNA from 1 species